rnacentral:rRNA from 1 species
GAUGAACGCUGGCGGCGUGCCUAAUACAUGCAAGUCGAGCGAACAGACGAGGAGCUUGCUCCUCUGACGUUAGCGGCGGACGGGUGAGUAACACGUGGAUAACCUACCUAUAAGCCUGGGAUAACUUCGGGAAACCGGAGCUAAUACCGGAUAAUAUAUUGAACCGCAUGGUUCAAUAGUGAAAGACGGUUUUGCUGUCACUUAUAGAUGGAUCCGCGCCGCAUUAGCUAGUUGGUAAGGUAACGGCUUACCAAGGCAACGAUGCGUAGCCGACCUGAGAGGGUGAUCGGCCACACUGGAACUGAGACACGGUCCAGACUCCUACGGGAGGCAGCAGUAGGGAAUAUUCCGCAAUGGGCGAAAGCCUGACGGAGCAACGCCGCGUGAGUGAUGAAGGUCUUCGGAUCGUAAAACUCUGUUAUUAGGGAAGAACAAAUGUGUAAGUAACUAUGCACGUCUUGACGGUACCUAAUCAGAAAGCCACGGCUAACUACGUG